GAUGAACGCUGGCGGCGUGCCUAAUACAUGCAAGUCGAGCGAACAGACGAGGAGCUUGCUCCUUUGACGUUAGCGGCGGACGGGUGAGUAACACGUGGGUAACCUACCUAUAAGACUGGGAUAACUUCGGGAAACCGGAGCUAAUACCGGAUAAUAUUUCGAACCGCAUGGUUCGAUAGUGAAAGAUGGCUCUGCUAUCACUUAUAGAUGGACCUGCGCCGUAUUAGCUAGUUGGUAAGGUAACGGCUUACCAAGGCAACGAUACGUAGCCGACCUGAGAGGGUGAUCGGCCACACUGGAACUGAGACACGGUCCAGACUCCUACGGGAGGCAGCAGUAGGGAAUCUUCCGCAAUGGGUGAAAGCCUGACGGAGCAACGCCGCGUGAGUGAUGAAGGUCUUCGGAUCGUAAAACUCUGUUAUUAGGGAAGAACAAAAGUGUAAGUAACUGUGCACGUCUUGACGGUACCUAAUCAGAAAGCCACGGCUAACUACGUG
rnacentral:rRNA from 1 species